rnacentral:misc_RNA from 1 species
AUUCAAUAUGGCAGACCAUGAAUUAGAUGCACUGGAAGAAAGAUUAGAUUUUAUUGAAAACAUAGUAUUUAGCAAUUCAGAGAAAGAUGCCUUUUAUCCCAAGGUAUGUUUCAGAUGUAUAGAAAUAUAUUGGUUCAUUUAUGGAAUGCUGCAAUCGUAAAUAAUGCAUUUAUUAUGAAUUUACUUCACACAAAAUUGGAACUGUCACACUGACAGAUAUGAUGGAUGUUAUAUCUGUUACAGUGAAACCAUUUAUUGUUUAAUUACUGUUGAUAAGGCAUGCUUGAAUCUUUAUGACAAACUUUGACGUAUAUAAACCGUCUGCCUCAAUUUUGCAUGGUGAAUAAAAGCUGGUAUUUACUGAUGAAAGAGUAUUAUUCUGAUCUUAGAAGUAAGUCUAAGGUGCUUUCCAUUUAAUCAGUAUAAAAAAACCAAAUAAUUCCUACAAUUGUAAAAACAAAAGGCAUUCAAGUCGCUGCUAUUGUAAACCAAUCUCAGCUGGAAAUAACUGAAGUUUACAGCGAAUUACUAUACAGAAUACCAGUGGAAUUUUCAAAAGCUUGCUGGACUGCUCAGUAGGGUAUACAGUUUGGUCAGCCAGGUGUCACAUUAGGUCUAAAUCUAGGCCGUGUGAUUACUCAGGUAUGACUUCAAGAAAGUGAGUUAUAUCUAGUAAAUAUUUGCACUUUCAGAUUUUUUUGUUGGGAAUAUAUUUUCUGUAUGUUUUAUCCAACAAUUAUACUGCAUUUUUGUGAACUAAUUAUUAAGCAGUCUUAGCAUAAAAAUACUAUUAAUGCUGUUUGUGAACAAGGAAUUGAGAAACCAAAAUGUACUGUGAUUUUUUUAAAACUCUUUUUAAGCUAACCUAUGUAAAAGUUUUCCAUUUGUUUCUUCAUGUUCUUCAGAAAUGUCUUUUAAAUAACAGUUAUGAUAUAUUUUCAAAGUUAAUCUGGGUAGAACUGAUACUCUAGGUUCCAGUACUGGCCAGGUGAACAUUCUUUUCAAAAGGCUUUGAAUAGAGCAACCAAGGUUUUUUUCCACUGCACUUUUUAUUUCAGAGUGUGCAUGUUAAGCAUGGUUGUUGUCAAGUAUCCGUUUUCUUUUGAUUUUUAUGCAGGACAAAAAGACUUCUUCCGUGCAGGUAACAUUGUAUAUAAUAUGCUAGUUGUAUUAACACCACUCACAAACAAUUCUACCUUUGUUUCUUUUGUUACAUUUGCACUUUUUCACCCACCUCUCAUCUGUACAUGUAUAACAAUAUUACCAAGUAUACAUAUGUAUAAACUUUAUGGAUUGAUCCAUGCACUGGUAUCAUUUUAAUUGGAUUUGGGGGUAUGAUUAAAUUUCAUGAUUUCAUAUUUACAUGUACUAAAGGAUAUGGAUUAUGGAUAUUAUUCAUAACUAAUUAUGAUCAUUUUUUUUAAAACCUUAUUCUGGUAGAAGAAAGAUUUUUUGGAUUUAGGGCUCUUUAUGUUACUAGUAUCUAUUAUAUAGUAUAGAUUUCAUAUUUUGCUUUUUAUUGAAUUUAAAGUAGAUUUUCAAGCCAGCAGAAAUACAGAAUUGAUAAAAGUUUGCUGAUAACUAGUAUUACAUGUUGUUACCUCUACAAAGCUAAGAUUGUAAAAUCUGAAGUCACGGUUUUAUUUUAGAUAGAUAUUUGGAACAAGAACUGAUGCAUAAAUGCAGAGAAUGAAUUAUAUAUACAUGUAUCAUAUUCUGUUUAAUUUAUAAGAUAUUUCUCCUUCAUACUUUUUGUAGACUUUAUUUUUCUCUUCUUUCCUUUUCUUUUGAAAUUAUUCUCAGCAGAUAAAAGCUUUAAUGCAGUUACAGUUCAUUUUGGGGGACCAGUUUAUAGAGGUUUUCUAAUAAAGAACAGUUCUGAUGAAUUCUGAUGUACAAUGGUUGGUCCCCACCUGCAUGUAUUUCUAAGAAGUACCAGUACAUGUAUUUAUUUAUACAGUUUAAUGUUCACAAAAUUAUUGUUUACCAAAUUUUCAGUGCAUAGACAAACUAGCCAACAUUAAGGAAAAGAUUUCCACAGCAACAAAGAACAAGAAAAGAAUAACUGAGAUUUACAAAAAAUCUAGAGAUCUGCACAAGUUUUUGGACCCUGCCUACACAGAUGAGAUGACCAUGAGUGAAGAGGCCAUGGAGGAGGUCAUCAUGGCAGAGGAGGAAUAUUUGAGGGACCAAGCUAAAAACUUAGAAACAAUGGAGGAAUUAAAACCAACUUUAGACAGUGAGCAUCUGAAAGCAACACCUCAAUAUACAGAGAAGUUUGAGGCGUUGAGUCAGAUUCAAAUUACACAACAGGAUCAAACUGCCGACCUCACAGAAGAAGCAAGAAGGUUGUUGGCAACAUAUAAUAAUAUUAUAACUCUAGUAUCUCGACAGUUUGUACAAUGGGAUGAGACGCUAACAAAAAUGGAGGCCAAGAAGAUAAAGUCCAAGAACUGAGGACUAAAACUGCGACCAGGAAGUGAAACUAGUGCAAUAUCUUUUGAAACUUAUGUCUAAAAGUCCAACUAGUACUGUGAUUGUUCAGUUAAAAAAUUAUAUACAUGUAACACAAUAACAGUUAAAGUAUGGUGGUUUUUAGUUUGUUUAAUAUUAUGGAUAAAAUAAUAAAAAAAAGGUUAAGAAGUU